AUACGGAGGAUCCGAGCGUUAUCCGGAUUUAUUGGGUUUAAAGGGUGCGCAGGCGGGAGAUUAAGUCGGCGGUGAAAUUUUGCAGCUCAACUGUAAAAGUGCCUUCGAAACUGGUUUCCUUGAGUGUAGAUGAAGUAGGCGGAAUUUGAGGUGUAGCGGUGAAAUGCAUAGAUAUCACGAGGAACUCCGAUUGCGCAGGCAGCUUACUAAACUACUACUGACGCUCAGGCACGAAGGCGUGGGGAUCAAACAGGAUUAGAUACCCUGGUAGGCCACGCAGUAAACGAUGAUUACUAGCUGUUUGCGAUACAAUGUAAGCGGCUAAGCGAAAGCAUUAAGUAAUCCACCUGGGGAGUACGGUCGCAAGAAUGAAACUUAAAGGAAUUGACGGGG
rnacentral:rRNA from 1 species